CCUACGGGAGGCCGCAGUGAGGAAUAUUGGUCAAUGGGCGCGAGCCUGAACCAGCCAAGUCGCGUGAGGGAUGAAGGUUCUAUGGAUCGUAAACCUCUUUUAUAAGGGAAUAAAGUGUGGGACGUGUCCUAUUUUGUAUGUACCUUAUGAUUACGGAUCGGCUAACUCCGUGCCAGCAGCCGCGGUAAUACGGAGGAUCCGAGCGUUAUCCGGAUUUAUUGGGUUUAAAGGGUGCGUAGGCGGCUGUUUAAGUCAGCGGUGAAAGUCUGUGGCUCAACCAUAGAAUUGCCGUUGAAACUGGGGGGCUUGAGUAUGUUUGAGGCAGGCGGAAUGCGUGGUGUAGCGGUGAAAUGCUUAGAUAUCACGCAGAACUCCGAUUGCGAAGGCAGCCUGCUAAGCCAUGACUGACGCUGAUGCACGAAAGCGUGGGGAUCAAACAGGAUUAGAUACCCUUGUAGUC
rnacentral:rRNA from 1 species